CAUUGAAUGUGCAUGAUCUGUUAGGAACCCAAUAAUUUUCUUCCCCAAUUGUCGCUCCCGAGCAGUAGAAUCAACCACAACAUCUUCAAUAUGCCCAACUNNNNNAUGCCCAACUUUGCCAAAAUUUCCUUAGGAUUUCCUUUCAAUAAACACACUCCCAGUUGCAAUAAUCUUCCCAGAUUGAUCAUCUUCAAUUACACAAACAAUAUGGUCAUUGCCAUAAGAGUUGAUCUCUUGAAAUCGCUCUUCAAAUUCCUUUUCU
rnacentral:misc_RNA from 1 species